GUCGAGAAUCUUUCACAAUGGGGGCAACCCUGAUGGAGCGACGCCGCGUGGAGGAUAAGGUCUUCGGAUUGUAAACUCCUGUCAUGCGUGAACAAGGUUGCUUGGUUAAUACCUGGGCAAAUUGAUGGUAACGCAAGAGGAAGAGACGGCUAACUCUGUGCCAGCAGCCGCGGUAAUACAGAGGUCUCAAGCGUUGUUCGGAAUCACUGGGCGUAAAGGGUGCGUAGGUGGCGUGGUAAGUCAGAUGUGAAAGACCGGGGCUCAACCGCGGAACUGCAUCCGAUACUGCCAUGCUAGAGUACUGGAGAGGUGACUAGAAUUCUCGGUGUAGCAGUGAAAUGCGUAGAUAUCGAGAGGAAUACCAAAGGCGUAGGCAGGUCACUGGACAGUUACUGACACUGAGGCACGAAGGCCAGGGGAGCGAACGGGAUUAGAUACCCGGGUAGUCC
rnacentral:rRNA from 1 species